UAUAAAACUGGGCACAACCACCAAACAGAAGAAGAAGAAGAAGUAAAUUUUGGCGGUUGGCUCAAGCUGCCCGAACAGUUGAGUUCAUCCUUGACUGAAAGUAACGAUGGCGAACCAAACGCAAAAAGACGACGGCGCAAAUCUGUGGUUUUGUCUGCUUGCACUGGGCUUGCAGCCUGAAAAGCGAAUACACCUCUUGCCAAACGCCUCAAAA